ACGAGCGCACCCUCGCCUUUAGUUGCCAGCAUGUUUGGGUGGGCACUCUAGAGGAACUGCCGGUGACAAGCCGGAGGAAGGUGGGGAUGACGUCAAGUCCUCAUGGCCCUUAUGUCCUGGGCUACACACGUGCUACAAUGGCGGUGACAGUGGGAAGCCAGGCAGCGAUGCCGUGCUGAUCUCCAAAAGCCGUCUCAGUUCGGAUUGCACUCUGCAACUCGGGUGCAUGAAGGUGGAAUCGCUAGUAAUCGUGGAUCAGCAUGCCACGGUGAAUACGUUCCCGGGCCUUGUACACACCGCCCGU
rnacentral:rRNA from 1 species